rnacentral:tRNA from 1 species
CUUUUCGUUUAGUGCUAGAGUAAUGCCAUGGUAAGAGGGAAGUUAUUGGUUCGAAUCCGAUAAAA